GGGCUCGUAGCUCAUCGGCCAGAGCGUUCCCCUCGCACGGGAAAGGCAGCGAGUUCAAUUCUCGCCGGGUCCA
rnacentral:tRNA from 2 species